rnacentral:lncRNA from 1 species
CCCAAAUCCUAUAAAACGGCCCCACCCCAUCUCCCUUCGCUGACUCUCUUUUCGGACUCAGCCCGCCUGCCCCCAGGUGAAAUAAACAGCCAUGUUGCUCACACAAAGCCUGUUUGGUGUCUCUUCACAUGGACUCGAGUGAACUUUGAUGCCGUGGCUCGGAUCGGGGGACCUCCCUUAGGAGAUCAAUCCCCCGUCCUCCUGCUCUUUGCUCCAUGAGAAAGAUCCACCUACGACCUUAGGUCCUCAGACCAACCAGCCCAAGAAACAUCUCACCAAUUUUAAAUCCAGAGCUUGCUGCAAGUGCCAGAAAUCUGACCACCAGGGCAAGGAAUGCCUGCAGCCCAGGGAUUCCUCCUAAGCCAUGUCCCAUCUGUGCGGGACCCCACUGGAAAUCGGACUGUUCAACUCACCUGGCAGCCACUCCCAGCGCCCCUGGAACUCUGGCCCAAGGCUCUCUGACUGACUCCUUCUUGGCUUAGUGGCUGAAGACUGACGCUGCCUGAUCGCCUCAGAAGCCCUGUAGACCACCAUGGACACCGAGCUUUAGGUAACUCUCACAGUGGAGGGUAAGUCUGUCCCCUUCUUAAUCAAUAUGGAGGCUACCCACUCCACAUUACCUUCUUUUCAAGGGCCUGUUUCCCUUGCCUCCAUAACUGUUGUGGGUAUUGACAGCCAGGCUUCUAAACCUCUUAAAACUCCCCAACUCUGGUGCCAACUUGAACAACACUCUUUUAUGCACUCUUUUUUAGUUAUCUCCACCUGCCCAGUUCCCUUAUCAGGCCGAGAUAUUUUAACCAAAUUAUCUGCUUCCCUGACUAUUCCUGGACUACAGCUGCAUCUCAUUGCUGCCCUUCUUCCCAAUCCAAAGCCUCCUUUGCGUCCUCCUCUUGUAUUCCCCCACCUUAACCCACAAGUAUAAGAUACCUCUACUCCCUCCUUGGCGACCGAUCAUGCACCCCUUACCAUCUCAUUAAAACCUAAUCACGCUUACCCGACUCAAUGCCAAUAUCCCAUCCCACAGCAUGCUUUGAAAGGAUUAAAGCCUGUUAUCACUCACCUGCUACAGCAUGGCCUUUUAAAGCCUAUAAACUCUCCUUACAAUUCCCCCGUUUUACCUGUCCUAAAACCAGACAAGGCUUACAACUUAGUUCAGAAUCUGUGCCUUAUCAACCAAAUUGUUUUGCCUAUCCACCCCGUGGUGCCAAACCCAUAUACUCUCCUAUCCUCAAUACCUCCCUCUACUACCCAUUAUUCUGUUCUGGAUCUCAAACAUGCUUUCUUUACUAUUCCUUUGCACUCUUCAUCUCAGCCUCUCUUUGCCUUCACUUAGACUGACCCUGACACCCAUUAGGCUCAGCAGCUUACCUGGGCUGUGCUGCCGCAAGGUUCCAGGGACAGCCCUCAUUACUUCAGCCAAGCUCUUUCUCAUGAUCUACUUUCUUUCCACCCCUCCACUUCUCACCUUAUUCAAUAUAUUGAUGACCUUCUUCUUUGUAGCCCCUCCUUUGAAUCUUCUCAACAAGACAUACUUCUGCUCCUUCAGCAUUUAUUCUCCAAAGGAUAUCGGGUAUCCCCCUCCAAAGCUCAAAUUUCUUCUCCAUCCGUUACCUACCUCGGCAUAAUUCUUCACAAAAACACAGGUGCUCUCCCUGCUGAUGGUGUCUGAUUAAUCUCCCAAACCUCAAUCCCUUACAAAACAACAACUCCUUUCCUUCCUAGGCAUGGUUAGUGCGGUCAGAAUUCUUACACAAGAGCCAGGACCCCACCCUGUAGCCUUUCUGUCCAAACAACUUGACCUUACUGUUUUAGCCUAGCCCUCAUGUCUGCAUGCAGCAGCUGCCGCUGCUUUAAUAAUUUUAGAGGCCCUAAAAAUCACAAACUAUGUUCAACUCACUCUCUACAUUUCUCAUAACUUCCAAAAUCUAUUUUCUUCCUCAUACCUGACGCAUAUACUUUCUGCUCCCCGGCUCCUUCAGCUGUACUCAUUCUUUGUUAAGUCCCACAAUUACCAUUGUUCCUGGCCCAGACUUCAAUCUGGCCUCCCACAUUAUUCCUGAUACCACACCUGAUCCCCAUGACUGCAUCUCUCUGAUCCACCUGACAUUCACCCCAUUUCCCCAUAUUACAAGCCACUAGCCCAUCUCUUAGAACCUCUCAUUUCCUUUCCAUUGUAGAAAUCUAUCCUCAAGGAAAUAACUUCUCAGUGUUCCAUCUGCUAUUCUAUCUGCUAUUCUGCUACUCCUCAAGGAUCAUUCAGGCCCCUCCCUUCCCUACACAUCAAGCUCGAGGAUUUGCCCCCGCCCAGGACUGGCAAAUUAGCUUUACUCCACAUGCCCCGAGUCACAAAAACUAAAAUACCUCUUAGUCUAAGUAGACAUUUUCACUAGAUAGGUAGAGGCCUUUCCUACAGGGUCUGAGAAGGCCACCGCAGUCAUUUCUUCCCUUCUGUCAGACAUAAUUCCUCAGUUUAGCCUUCCCACCUCUAUACAGUCUGAUAACAGACCAGGCUUUAUUAGUCAAAUUAGCCAAGCAGUUUUUCAGUUUAUAUCCCUUAUAGUCCUCUGUCUUCAAGAAAAGUAGAACGGACUAAAGGUCUUUUAAAAACACACCUCACCAAGCUCAGCCACCAACUUAAAAAGAACUGGACAAUACUUUUACCACUUUCCCUUCUCAGAAGUCAGACCUGUCCUCAGAAUGCUACAAGGUACAGUCCAUUUAAGCUCCUUUUUAUUAGGCCCCAGUCUCAUCCCAGACACCAGACCAACUUAGACUGUGCCCCCAAAAAAACUUGUCAUCCCUACUAUUUUCCGUCUAGUCAUACUCCUAUUCUCCGUUCUCAACUACUCAUACAUGCCCUGCUCUUGUUUACACUGCCAGUUUACACUGUUUCUCCAAGCCAUCAUGGCUGAUAUCUCCUCAUGCUAUCCCCAAACUGCCACUCUUAACUCUUGAAGUAAAUAAAUAAUCUUCGCUGGAAGGACUAUGCUGAACCUCCUUAGGCAUUCUCUAAUUAGAUGUCCUAGAUCCUCCCAAUUCUUAGUCCUUUUAUACCUGUUUUUCUCCUUCUCUUAUUCCAUUUAGUUUUUCAGUUCAUACAAAACCGUAUCCAGGCCAUCACCAAUCUUUCUGUAUGACAAAUGUUUCUUCUAACAACCCCCUCAAUGUCACCCCUUACCACAAGACCUCCCUUCAGCUUAAUCUCUCCCACUCUAGGUUCCCACGCCGCCCCUAAUCCCGCUUGAAGCAGCCCUGAGAAACAUCGCCCAUUCUCUCUCCAUACCACCCCCCAAAAAUUUUCACCGCCCCAACACUUCAACACAAUUUUGUUUUAUUUUUCUUAUUAAUAUAAGAAGGCAGGAAUGUCAGGCCUCUGAGCCCAAGCCAAGCCAUCGCAUCCCCUGUGACUUGCACGUAUACGCCCAGAUGGCCUGAAGUAACUGAAGAAUCACAAAAGAACUGAAAAGGCCCUGCCCCGCCUUAACUGAUGACAUUCCACCAUGGUGAUUUGUUCUUGCCCCACCUUAACUGAGUGAUUAACCCUGUGAAUUUCCUUCUCCUGGCUCAGAAGCUCCCCCACUGAGCACCUUGUGACCCCCGCCCCUGCCCACCAGAGAACAACCCCCUUUGACUGUAAUUUUCCAUUACCUUCCCAAAUCCUAUAAAACGGCCCCACCCCUAUCUCCCUUCGCUGACUCUCUUUUCGGACUCAGCCCGCCUGCCCCCAGGUGAAAUAAACAGCCAUGUUGCUCACACAAAGCCUGUUUGGUGUCUCUUCACACGGACGCGCAUGAAAAAAACCCUUUCAUUUUACUGUGGGACGGCAACCCUUUCUGGGACCCCUCUCUGCAGCAGAGAACUGUUCUCUUUCUUUCACCUGUUAAACUUCUGCUUCUGCUCUGACCUCGUCCUUGGUGUGUCUGCAUCGUCGAUUUCCUCAGCUGUGAGACCAACGACUUGGGCACCCACCCAGGCAACAAGGCCUUUUCAGUAAGGGAAGUGGUAAAAUGUUUUCAAUCCCUGUUGCCAAAAAUCGGCCUAAGGCUUCCCAAAAAAAGUAACCCAAAGCAGACAUGGCAAAUAUUUGCUACAUUUGAUAAUAAGCCAAUAAAUUAUCUGCUAAUAAGUGACUGAAAUAUUUAGCACACAUCUGCCUUAUUCUGAUGACUGAUCACAUUUCUAGCUCCCCUGUGGACUAAAACAAUAUGCUUUCCUUCUCUACACAAGCAAUGCUUUCUGCAGAGACACAAACUUUACAUCUGAAUACAAAUGCAGCACGUUUUAAUUCUGCCUCUCAUUCUCCAGCAAAAUCAUGGGGAAGAAGGAAAACAUCCUUAGUCAAAAGGGGUACAGGGACUUAGAACCUCACCAUGCUGCAGUCACACAGGCAAUAGAGAAAGAUGGCGGUGGUUCCCUGGGGCAGUUCCCCUCUCAAGCAAGGAGACAGGGGCAGCACUCCUACCAUCUCCCCAGGGAUAUAGGAGUUAAGAAGGAAUUGCUUAGGCAGAUAGCAAGGGCAUGGGAGUCCUGGGUAAGGCUUUUCUUUUUAAUGAAAAGCAGCCCCAAGUCAUUUUCUAACAAAGAGCAGCCUGCAAGCUGGGAGCUUGCAUAGGUGAAUGCCAGCAGGAACUAAGGACUAGACAUUUUCAAACUGGUGGCUCCAUCUUCCCUUCCCUGCCAGCCAAGUGUAUUGUAAGGAGCAGAGAAGAUGGCUCUGAUCAACUGGAAAGCCUAUUUGCAUAAUUAGAUUAGGGUGGGGCAACCAGCCUUCCCCCGCACACUAUGUAGACGUCAUACCUGAUGGAACCAGUCUGUGAGCCCUAUGUAAAUCAGACACCGCCUUCUCCAACUUAUUAUAUCUGUUUUGGUCCACUGCCUCCCCACUUUUCAGAUGUCUCUCUCUCUCUCUCUCUCUAAGAGCUGCUCUCCUCUCUCCUUUCUUCUAUCUAUUAAAUUUUCCACUCCCUAACCCACCCACAUGUGAUUGUGUCCUGAAUUCUUGGUGUGUGACGAUGAACCCCAGGGUGUAUACCCCAGACAGCACAGCCACUUCACCAGCAGGGACAGCAGCUGUCACAUGAACUGGAGAUGAACUGGAGGUGAGUCUGAUGUCUCGGAAUUUUGAGGAAAGUGGGUAGAAAGUUGCCAAGCAAGCUGAAGAGACAAGCAAAAGGGAUCAUAUUCCAGAAGAAUUCUUAGCAAGACCACAGUCAGAACUUCAAUCAAGGUGAUUGAUUGGUCUGAAAGGGGGAAUAGAAUGUAAAUAAAAUACAACCAUGAGAAACCACAUGUAUGUUGUUGAACCUUAUCUAGACACUAACUGUGAAAAAGCCAGCUUGGAUUAUUGAUGAACGACAUUCAGAAAACCACAAUUUUGCCAUGCUUAUUUAGAGAACAGAGACAGUGGUAUUAUCAGCCUAUAGCUCAAUUGUAAAAUUGGGAUGACUAGAUGUCCCGAGACUAUUCUGUUCCUCGGCCCUCUCGACACUCACCUAAGAAGCUUCCAAAUUUACCACUUCUCAGUCAUUGUAAGGAUGCUGCAUGUCAUAAGGAUGAUUAUGGAAGAUUAUGGGCAUGUUCUACAUAGAGAACAAGAAAAGUCACAAUAUUUUCUUUUAUAAAUUUAUAUUUUGGAAUUUAUAUUAGUUCCCCUAACUCUAAAUAACCAUGGGAAUAUUGACAAAUUUGAUUUUCCAGAACUUUAAAGCUGAGGCUAGACACUAACCACAGUGACUUUAUCUAUGUAGUAGCACACUCUACCAGCUGGGAUGUCUGGAUAACAAGUUCCCCAGAUUGCAGCCUCCCUCCAGCACCAAGUAGGAUUACGAGUCUGUUUGGUUUCAUUUUAGCUAUGUAGAUUUGUCAAAUUUUGUCACCUCUGGACUUCAGUUUUCUCAUAUGUAAAAUGAUGCAUUGGCCUGAAUGUUUUCGGAGAACCUUCAAUCUCUGUGAGUCUCUUCACUGAAAAAAUUGUUGACUUUCUUUUUUUUAUUGUUCUGUUUUUCUUUUCUAUGUCAAAAAAGCACUAUGGUAAAAGUCUUUCAGUAAAACUUGAACCUUGGGGCUUGUUCCUGAGUUUGACAUGUUAAACAAAUGAAAGAACUGUUUUCAACUGAUUAGUCAUAUCCUUCAAUUCCUACGGGAAUAUGGGUUCGUUGUGCAUGAGAAAGUCAGCCAACUUUGGCAUGAAGAUGUCUUUCAGGUAGGUAGGCCACCUGUGAUGAAGUGAAUCAUUGAAGAAAGUCUAUUUUCUUGUGGCAUAAAUACAAGCCUGAAGAUUACACAUAAGCUGUCAUACACGUACCUCCUAAAUGCAAUUCCUCAGAAGUGACAUGCUAUCAUCAUUCACAUUAAUGUCUAUUUGUGCAACUACAUUGUUUAAAAUAAUCAACCAAUUCAUCACAAUAGAUAUUUGGGAGGAGUGAGGGAGCUUUCUCUGUACUAAUGAAAGAAAUGACAUUUCUGUUUACCAUUUGUCAGUUUUAAGUAGUUAAUAAAUAUCUGAAAUGAUUUUCAUAUUUUGAUAUGGUAUUCACUUGUAAGGAUAUGCAAUUUUUAAGAGUUAUGGUGAGAAUGUUUCUUCCAUAACAUUCAGCUUUGAAAAGUUUUAGGAAACUAUUCAUUAUGUCUCAAAAGUUAAAUGCACGACAAAUGAAAUGCCUCUUAUUGGUUGCAAUUUUCUAAAAGUAAGUAAUGCCUAUUACUUUGAUAUUUAACUCAAAUAUAUUAACAAUAAUUGAAAGCUUUUGAGUGCUACAGGUUGAUAAUAAACCUGAAAGUAUAGAAUAAUCAUCUGUAUUUUAAAAUUUUUAUUCUUAAGGCCAACAAAACAAAGUAAGAAUUAUGUCAGUGUUUCUAACUGUCCUACCCAGAUCUAGCUCCUGACUGAUAAUUGUCAACAGAGUCAAACACGCCUUCCUAAGGCCAGCUCCACUUCUCCAAAGCAAGCUCCUCUCACUUUGCCACCCAGAAGCCACACUGGAACCUGGAAUCUAAAGAAUGUGUUUGCAUUAUCAAAGAACUCUCCCUCUCCUAAAGGGUCCACCCUGGGAUUCCAUUCUAGUGACUUGACAAAAUGCUUCUAAUUACUCCUUAGUUAGUUCCCAUAAUCCGCUUAAGGACUUGUUUACUUGUUGACAGGCAGGGUAGGAAUUCAGCCUUGACAGUCUGUGUCAGUGCAACAUCAUAAAUAAGAUAAACAUUAUCUGAAGUGAUCACAAUGUUCUUGAACAUCUGUGCAACAUCAUAAAUAAGAUAAACAUUAUCUGAAGUGAUCACAAUGUUCUUGAACAUCUGAGCCGGACAGAAUCAAGCCUGCGUCAUCUUCCUUCUGAUUUUCCAAAUGAGCACACAGGAGAGGCCACUCUAAAGUCACCCUGGGAAUGUGUCUGCCUCCAGCCCCAUUCACGGCCCCUGGCACUGGCUUGUCAUGAGAUGGUGUUCAAUGAAUGCUUGUGGAAUUGAAUGAACACAAUGUGGAUUUACACCCUUUCCUGUCAAAUAGCUAGUUCUAAAAAAUACAGACCUGCACUUCAGCCAUGCAAUGCCUUUUAAGAUGUUUCAUACUCUGAUGCAGAGGAAGAUGUCUCUUGCCAUUACAGAACCACACCGAGAAAGAUCAAACAAAAUCACACCAAGAAAAUUCAUGUGCAGAUCAUCUCAUUUGCAAUUAUUGCAGCAUGCACCAAGUCCAACACAUUUCACCCACACUUUAUCAGCAAAAAAGAAAACACCUGAGGGUCAGCGUCUUCUCCAGGUCCUGGCACAGGACUACCUGAACCACGGAGAUGUUCAGUGGGUUGUGUAAAUGACAUUCCUUUCAUGGAGACGAAUGGGCACAUGGCGUCUAAAAGCCAUUCUGUAAGACAUAUUCCAAAAAUAAUUGUUUUAGUACCUUUUCAGACUGUGCAUUUAAAAAAAAAAAAAGCCCUUAGCCUCUAGGUCACAUGUACCAAACAGUAGUUCAUUACGAUGCAAUACGGCCCCGCCACACUUACUAAUUUUAUACCAAGAGGAUGAAAUGAUGUUGUCUAGGGAACAGGAUAAGAGGAAAGGGGUUUAGGAACUCAGAAUUUUAUUCUGGCUCUGAUGCUAAUUUUCCUGUGACCUCAGCCAAGUCCUAUAAAUUGUUACUAUCUGCAAAGUGAAGAUAAUGGACAAGUCUCACAGGAUAGUUGUGGAGAUUAAUUAGGCAGCUCAUUUGAGAUUCAAAGUGCUGUGAGCCCACAAGAAAAGUCCUGGGGAAGAACAAAGGCGGGGCCCACGCUUCGUUUCAGCAGGCCGGGGACCACACCAAAGGCACUUCAGGGAUGCAUUUGGUGGCACCCCGGUAUUUGUUAAUUUACUGGUAUUAGGAAGUCAUUAUGGUUACCAGGGGUUAAUGGAAAGAUUGAACUUGCUAAAAUGGGCCAUAGAGGCGUAAAUCGAGGGCUCCUUUGUUCAAAGGAGGAUUGGGCCCUUCAGCAUUAAGCCUAGCUGCAGUGUGCUUCCUGGCCUUGCAGAUAUCUUUCAGAAAUCCAAAGCAGGCUGUUGGUAGCAUGAACAUUUUAUUUUUCAGUGAAAAAUGAAAUCUUUUACUUCUCAAUAUGUCCAAGAGAAAAAUUAUUUCAGAGAAAAAAAAGAGAACAAGUUAAUUAGUAUGCCUUUAGUGAUCCUCUGAUGGAAGAGUUCCAUCCCUGCAUCCCUUACACCUGCAGCUAGGGGGUGAAUGCUCACAUGCGUGCACACACACACACACACGCACACACACACACCGAGCUGAAUGAGAAGUCUAGGAAGAAGCCAGCGUAACACUCAGGGAAGGAGCCCAGAGGAGUCUCCAGCUUGCACAGAAGGAACUCAUGUGAAGUGCACAGCAUAUAGAAUGAAAUAGAUCCCAGAGUUUUCAAAGCGAGGCUCAGCUUUGCAAGAGAAGCUCAAAUGAAUACAAACCAGUCAGGGAAGUUAUAGAAGGAAGUGAGAUGUUUGACUUUUUAUGAAAGGUGUCUUUUGAGGGCAAAUUUUGUGAGAGUUGUAAGAGGGAGGGAGGAGUAUGGAUAAAGAUCAAAAGUACUACAUUCCCUAGGCCUGUUUCCAUGUCCCUCUCUUGGUGGAGGCCAGAGUGUGCAUUUCAGUAGGUGCACUAAAAUCCUGACAUCUCUAACCAGCCCCGGUCGUCCUAUUUGAAUAUGGCUCUAUAUAGAUGACAGGCAUGAAAAGCCACACGUAUUGCAACAGCCAUUCAGUCCUUGAAAGAGCACUGCAAUUCUACCUUGCCAGGAGAAUCUACUUUGUAAAGAAGAAAGGAAAGAGGGAGAAAGAUAAGAGCAAGCCGUAAAUAAAGCAGGACUAAGAAAUGAAGCAGGAAGAUGCCGCUUGAAGGACAAUACAAGAUGAGUAACAGGGACCAGAACACGCUACCCUAGAAUAUGACAUGCUGGCAUUUAAGGAGACAGCAGAAGCAGGAAGGUCUCUCUGACCUUCUUCCACCAUUCUCCCCUGAAGCAGGCCAUGAAAGAAUUCUCUGGCCUUUCUCUAAAAUAAGUCAUAAGACUCUCAUUACAGAAGACUGUUCCUUAUAUUGGGGGGAAAGGAAUGAAGACAAAAAAACACCAAGACGAAUCUGAACAAAGGCCUUGCUAAGUUCCCCUCAUUUUAUAACCAUUAGGUCACACCCACUUUGUCCAAUCAUAUUUCUGCAUGACUGUCCAAGUCUUCAUCAAACCUAAACAUCCAUAGAUUUCCCUGUUUCCUUGGGUCUUCAUUUCUGAAGGCUCCCAUGUUACAUAAAACUUACAUUGAAUACAUGUAUGUGCUUUCUUCUUGUGCAUCUGUCUUCUGAUAUAGUGAGUCUCAGCCAGGCACCUCCAUGGCUGAAAAGCGUAAUCUUUUCUCCUCUAGGCCC